rnacentral:piRNA from 1 species
GNGAAAACUAGUGGGUAAAGUGCCAUGGG